UUCAGUCACGCUGUGCCCAGUAUAGGUAAAGGGUGUAUAAUGUAUUUAUUUGUUAUUUUCCUCCCCCAUUUCCUUGUUUUCCCAGAAGGGCAUUGCCCCAUUGUCCCUGAGACACUUCCAGGUUAGUUUAAACUGGCUGUUCUGACACCCCUUACAUCUCCCAUGUGGUCCUCAGCCCUUGUUAUUGUGCGUCCCCAUCCUGCCUUGAAUUCACACUAAUGUAGAACAGAAUGGAAGUAAAUUAGGUUAUUGUGCGAUUGGGAAACAGUUAUUCUACAACACUUCUUGGUGUCUGUCACAUAAUUAAAUAAUGGUGACUCAAGCGAAUUAUGUUUCUAACCACCAAGACUCUGGGGGGGGACUUACAUUGUUUUAAUCGAUGACCUCCUGGGGGAAUGUUGUGUACAAUAAAGUCAGUUCUACUUCACCCUUAACUAAGUCUCGGCUAGUGAUUGGGUGAGACUGCUACACAGCUAUACUGAAUAUUGGAGCUAUGUCGCCGUAUACCGAUCCAGGAUGGAAAAGAUCUGGAAAGACUUCAGUCAGGCUGCCGCGACUGGGGGCAAUAGCGUUCCAGGUUGGUCCCAUGUGACUGCUCGGAAGCAAACUUGGCAGAGGUAGCAGCCAGGGUACAAGGAGCUCCGUCACAUUUAUAACUAAAAAUCUGAAUGCAGGCUGUCUGCGCCAAUAUUUUAUUUAUAUUCAAUUUGUUUUGCAUAUUACAGCUAAAAAUAAAUUAAAAUCUUUCGGCG